UGAUAAUGAACUCUUACUAAAUAGCUUGUUCCUGCUGAGGUCUCUCCUCAAAACAUGGAGUUUGCUUUUGUUUGGAUGUGAAACAGAAGGAGGGUUUUCCCACACUCUGCUCUGAUCCUUCAUUUCAUAACAAAAUUCACAUUUUGAAAUCUUUUGUCCAUAUGAGAGGAGUGGAGGAAGAAAACUCACCCUAUUCUACAUCUUUGCAACAGGAGAGAGGGGCAAGCUAAUGCAGUUCACCUGUUCUGCUCUUCUGGCAGGGUGUCCGAUGUGCAAGGGACUGUGAUUCUAAAGCAAACAGUGACCAUGGCAGUCAGUGUGAUCCCUGAGGGGCUGAUGUGUGUUUAUAUCAUUCCUCUAAGGUUCCAGAUCUUCUGUGUAAUGAGUAAAAGAAAAAUAUUCCCAGAGCGGGAGAGGUGUGUGGCUGAGCGAACACUUUGCUGAGGAAAGGAGACAUCUCAGAGAAGGUGAUGGGAGAAAACCAUUCAUGAAACUUAUGGAAAUCUCAUGAAAACAUGGACCUUUGUCUCCAAUAAUUCUGCACAGAAUGUAUUCUUCCUUGCACUCAAAUUGUCCUCUCUAUGAACAUUAACAAAUAGAAAUAAUAUCUGUCAGGAAUAAAACCUGUGAAUAUCCUGGACACAGCAUCACUCCGUUCCAACUUUUACUUGAGGGAAAUCAGGGUCUACAUGCUUUCCUGUGCUGUCAUUACAGCUUAGACAGGGCCCCUUUGUACCAGCUGUCUCAGGUUCUGAGAGCCUCUGCCACACAGCUUCCAAACCAUAACUUUCUGUAUUAUGUUUCCUGCAAACUGUUCCUAGCCAUUCCUUGCUCAAUUGUAUCGAACUCGAGCAGACUGGUGUUAUUUCAGUAGAGCUCACAGACAACAAAUAGCAGCAUUUGCUGAAUACAUGACUGCCAGAUUCUACGUGGAAGAGUAAUAAAAUGCAAAGUACAUAACUCAGCUCCACAUAGCUUGGUCUGGCUGCUUGCCCUUUUGCCUCUGAAUGGCUUUUUGAAUCCCUGCCCUGCCCAAUACAAGUGAAAUUAUUCUAAUUAUACAGUUUGAAAGAGUCCCUGGUGACAUGCUGGAUAGUGAUCGUUUCCUAGUUCACUGCAAAACAAUUUCGCAUAUAAUACAGAUUACACAAAGGGUCAUGAGCUCAUAGAAACUCUGAAACCGUCUUUCAAAGCUUUGUAUUUGCUCCGAGUCUAGGUCACUUUUGGGUAUGGAUUAAAGAAAGAUGAUGAACCUUCUGAUAUUUUCAAGUAAGCUUGUAGACAUUUUAUUCUUCUUAAUUUCAGACUUGCAUCCUCUAAAGAAAUAGAAAUAGAUCGGCCCUUUUCCUUAUUCCAUUUUCAGAUGCAUGAUGAAUUAAGCAGGUUGUGCUUGUCAGCUCUGUUUAUUAAAAUGGACCAAAACCAAGCCCCAGAACCCAAACAACAUUCUAACCAACGGAAGUUCAAAGUAGGAUCCAUUUUUUUUUAUUUUAUUUUUUUUUUUUACCUGUUUUCCCCUUGUAAAUGACCCAAACCCAAAUUUUAAGGGCAUUUUCAUCAGGAUUUGAUAUAUGUGUAAUCACUAAGAGGACCUGCAGAACAGUCAAAGUCUAUAGUUCAGAAGAUAAAAUACAGAUAUAGAGAUCUGACUGUUCUUCAAGAAUCUUUUAUCCAGGCUAUGACACAAAAUCUUUGCCCAGGAGGAUGGAUAUAACACCUUCAGUUAUCAUGUUCUGCCUGUGCAGGUUUCCCUUCCCAGCCAACUCAGACAAUGGCAGUCUUCUGCAGAAACAUUGUCCCAGUCUGUAGGAGCAGAAGUAAUAGGAAUGGUGGUUGUUUUGUCUGAUCGAUGGUCUCAUGCUCUAAGAUGUGCCGCAUCCCUUAAUAUGUGCUUACAACUACAAAUCCGUGUAAUUCGGGCCAUAAAAUUAUAUGGGCAAACAUGUAAAAUUACUAUCGUUAGUCAGAUUGAUCACUCAUAGGAUAAAAUGAGGACGCAUGCAUGCACUUUGCAUAUCCUGUGUCAAACGUUUUCCAAGUUGUUGUAUAAUAUUCUGUCUUGAAUGUUGAAUUUUAAUCAAAAACUCAAAAACAGGAAAUUGUCAGCAAGGCCCACCAACAGCUUUGGGCUUUCCACCACAGAAAAU